ACUCCUACGGGAGGCAGCAGUGGGGAAUUUUGGACGAUGGGCGAUAGCCUGAUCCAGCAAUGCCGCGUGAGUGAAGAAGGCCUUCGGGUUGUAAAGCUCUUUUGUCAGGGAAGAAACGGUGAAAGCUAAUAUCUUUUGCUAAUGACGGUACCUGAAGAAUAAGCACCGGCUAACUACGUGCCAGCAGCCGCGGUAAUACGUAGGGUGCAAGCGUUAAUCGGAAUUACUGGGCGUAAAGCGUGCGCAGGCGGUUUUGUAAGUCUGAUGUGAAAUCCCCGGGCUCAACCUGGGAAUUGCAUUGGAGACUGCAAGGCUAGAAUCUGGCAGAGGGGGGUAGAAUUCCACGUGUAGCAGUGAAAUGCGUAGAUAUGUGGAGGAACACCGAUGGCGAAGGCAGCCCCCUGGGUCAAGAUUGACGCUCAUGCACGAAAGCGUGGGGAGCAAACAGGAUUAGAUACCCCGGUAGUCCCAU
rnacentral:rRNA from 1 species